AGAGUUUGAUCCUGGCUCAGGAUGAACGCUGGCGGCGCGCCUAACACAUGCAAGUCGAACGGCACCCACCCUCGGGUGGAGGCGAGUGGCGAACGGCUGAGUAACACGUGACCAACCUGCCCCACGCACCGGGAUAGCCGGGGGAAACCCCGGGUAAUACCGGACGUCCCCGGGACGGCGCAUGCCGUCCCGGGGGAAGCCCAGGCGGCGUGGGAUGGGGUCGCGGCCCAUCAGGUAGACGGCGGGGUAACGGCCCACCGUGCCUACAACGGGUAGCCGGGUUGAGAGACCGACCGGCCAGAUUGGGACUGAGACACGGCCCAGACUCCUACGGGAGGCAGCAGUGGGGAAUCUUGCGCAAUGGGGGCAACCCUGACGCAGCGACGCCGCGUGCGGGACGAAGGCCUUCGGGUCGUAAACCGCUUUCAGCAGGGACGAGAAGAGACGGUACCUGCAGAAGAAGCCCCGGCUAACUACGUGCCAGCAGCCGCGGUAAUACGUAGGGGGCGAGCGUUAUCCGGAUUCAUUGGGCGUAAAGCGCGCGUAGGCGGCCGCGUAGGCGGGGGGUCAAAUCCCGGGGCUCAACCCCGGUCCGCCCCCCGAACCCCGCGGCUCGGGUCCGGUAGGGGAGGGUGGAACACCCGGUGUAGCGGUGGAAUGCGCAGAUAUCGGGUGGAACACCGGUGGCGAAGGCGGCCCUCUGGGCCGAGACCGACGCUGAGGCGCGAAAGCUGGGGGAGCGAACAGGAUUAGAUACCCUGGUAGUCCCAGCCGUAAACGAUGGACGCUAGGUGUGGGGGGGACGAUCCCUCC
rnacentral:rRNA from 1 species